UACAGCCACAUCAUGUUGAAACACCGAUUAACUUACGGUCACCGAAAUUAAGCAAUGUCGAGCCUGGUCAGUAGUUAGAUGGGUGACCGCUUGGGAAUACCAGGUGUU